rnacentral:rRNA from 1 species
UCAGGAUGAACGCUAGCUACAGGCUUAACACAUGCAAGUCGAGGGCAGCAUGAUCUAGCUUGCUAAGAUGAUGGCGACCGGCGCACGGGUGCGUAACGCGUAUCCAACCUGCCGUGUACUCUGGGAUAGCCCUCUGAAAGGAGGAUUAAUACCCGAUGUGGUUGCGGAGAGACAUCUCUCUGUAAUUAAAGAUUUAUCGGUACACCGAUGGGGAUGCGUACGAUUAGCUAGUUGGCGGGGUAACGGCCCACCAAGGCGACGAUCGUUAGGGGUUCUGAGAGGAAGGUCCCCCACAUAGGAACUGAGACACGGUCCUAACUCCUACGGGAGGCAGCAGUGAGGAAUAUUGGUCAAUGGGCGAGAGCCUGAACCAGCCAAGUAGCGUGAAGGAAGACAGCCCUAUGGGUUGUAAACUUCUUUUAUCGGGGAAUAAAGUGCGCCACGUGUGGCGUUUUGUAUGUACCCGAUGAAUAAGCAUCGGCUAAUUCCGUGCCAGCCGCGGC